rnacentral:lncRNA from 1 species
UUCCUCUCUACCUACACCUAUAAAUAAAGCCUAAUGCCUCCAUUCAUAGAGAUCUCUCCACUCCAUAAUUCUUAUAAGAGAUCUGUGCGACAGGCAGGCAUACCCAUCUUUUUAACUUUUUAGCCACCUUAUUUCCACUUUCUUCCACCGUUCUAACACAUGAGAAGGAGAGUCAGUCAGGGGGAGGUUGGUCCCAGGUCA